rnacentral:rRNA from 1 species
UAGGGAAUCUUCGGCAAUGGACGAAAGUCUGACCGAGCAACGCCGCGUGAGUGAAGAAGGUUUUCGGAUCGUAAAACUCUGUUGUUAGAGAAGAACAAGGACGUUAGUAACUGAACGUCCCCUGACGGUAUCUAACCAGAAAGCCACGGCUAACUACGUGCCAGCAGCCGCGGUAAUACGUAGGUGGCAAGCGUUGUCCGGAUUUAUUGGGAGUAAAGCGAGCGCAGGCGGUUUCUUAAGUCUGAUGUGAAAGCCCCCGGCUCAACCGGGGAGGGGCAUUGGAAACUGGGAGACUUGGGUGCAGAAGAGGAGAGUGGAAUUCCAUGUGUAGCGGUGAAAUGCGUAGAUAUAUGGAGGAACACCAGUGGCGAAGGCGGCUCUCUGGUCUGUAACUGACGCUGAGGCUCGAAAGCGUGGGGAGCAAACAGG